rnacentral:rRNA from 1 species
UGUUCGGUGACUGCGUACCUUUUGUAUAAUGGGUCAGCGACUUACAUUCAGUAGCAAGGUUAACCGUAUAGGGGAGCCGUAGAGAAAUCGAGUCUUAAUAGGGCGUUUAGUUGCUGGGUAUAGACCCGAAACCGGGUGAUCUAUCCAUGAGCAGGUUGAAGGUUGGGUAACACUAACUGGAGGACCGAACCCACUGUCGUUGAAAAGCCAGGGGAUGACUUGUGGAUAGGGGUGAAAGGCUAAUCAAACUCGGUGAUAGCUGGUUCUCCCCGAAAGCUAUUUAGGUAGCGCCUCGGACGAAUACCAUUGGGGGUAGAGCACUGUUUCGGCUAGGGGGUCAUCCCGACUUACCAAACCGAUGCAAACUCCGAAUACCUAUGAGUACUAUCCGGGAGACAGACUGCGGGUGCUAACGUCCGUAGUCAAGAGGAAAACAAUCCAGACCGCCAGCUAAGGCCCCAAAAUUAUAGUUAAGUGGGAAACGAUGUGGGAAGGCAUAGACAGCUAGGAGGUUGGCUUAGAAGCAGCCACCCUUUAAAGAAAGCGUAAUAGCUCACUAGUCGAGUCGGCCUGCGCGGAAGAUGUAACGGGGCUAAAACUAUAUGCCGAAGCUGCGGAUUUGCAAUUUAUUGCAAGUGGUAGGGGAGCGUUCUGUAAGCCGAUGAAGGUGUAUUGAGAAGUAUGCUGGAGGUAUCAGAAGUGCGAAUGCUGACGUGAGUAACGACAAUGCGAGUGAAAAACUCGCACGCUGAAAGACCAAGGGUUCCAGUCCAACGUUAAUCGGGGCUGGGUGAGUCGACCCCUAAGGCGAGGCCGAAAGGCGUAGUCGAUGGGAAAUUGGUUAAUAUUCCAAUACUUCUGUGUAAUGCGAUGAGAGGACGGAGAAGGUUAAGUCAGCCUGGCGUUGGUUGUCCAGGUGAAAGGUUGUAGGCAUGUAUCUUAGGCAAAUCCGGGGUACUCUAUGCUGAGAUCUGAUAGCAAGCUGUACUUGUACAGUGAAGUGGCUGAUACCAUGCUUCCAGGAAAAGUCUCUAAGCUUCAGUUACACAGGAAUCGUACCCGAAACCGACACAGGUGGUCAGGUCGAGUAGACCAAAGCGCUUGAGAGAACUCUGCUGAAGGAACUAGGCAAAAUGGUACCGUAACUUCGGGAGAAGGUACGCUGCCGACGGUGAUAGGAUUUACUCCUUGAGCUAUUGGCAGCCACAGAAACCAGGCCCCUGCAACUGUUUAUUAAAAACAUAGCACUCUGCAAACACGAAAGUGGACGUAUAGGGUGUGAUGCCUGCCCGGUGCUGGAAGGUUAAUUGAUGGGGUUAGCGUAAGCGAAGCUCUUGAUCGAAGCCCCAGUAAACGGCGGCCGUAACUAUAACGGUCCUAAGGUAGCGAAAUUCCUUGUCGGGUAAGUUCCGACCUGCACGAAUGGCAUAAUGAUGG